GGAACAUAGCGUAUGGGGCCUAACUCUGUGAUGUUACUAAAUCGGCCUGGCUUCUAUUGUCAAUGUCAGGACUUCCUGUGCAACCAAGGUUUCCUAUUUUUUUCUUCUUACAGAUCUGCCCCCUUUUCUUCCUUAUUGGAAUAUUACUGUGGGGAAAAAAAAAAGAAAAACCUUAAUAAUUUGCAGCUUUCACUGGGAACUGAGAACCGCAUCUACAAUACUGUCACUUGGGGGUAAAGGAUGGAAGACUAGGAGCUCACAGCCAGCUUGGGCCAUGAGACUGUAUCAGGAAAAUGCACAUGACACAGUAUUCUCCCUCAGAGCAAUUUCACCACCCUCCACCCCUGACGUGGCCGGAAGUCUCAAUUGUCCUUCAUCUCAACCCCUGGGAUUGAAGGCUACAUCCUGCUGAGACCCAUCACCUAGCUUCCAGCUGAUUUAGUUACUAUGUGAGUAGGCAAAAGGAAAACUGGUGGUGGCGGCAGCAACACCUGGGAACUGUGCCUACUGCACAUGUGCUACGACAGAAUUCCUCAAACUACCUUACAGUAAACCUUCAUGAGCUUUCAGAAUUUACGG